UAUUGGACAAUGGGGGAAACCCUGAUCCAGCCAUGCCGCGUGUGUGAAGAAGGCCUUUUGGUUGUAAAGCACUUUAAGCAGUGAAGAAGACUCUUCGGUUAAUACCCGGAGACGAUGACAUUAGCUGCAGAAUAAGCACCGGCUAACUCUGUGCCAGCAGCCGCAGUAAUACAGAGGGUGCAAGCGUUAAUCGGAAUUACUAGGCGUAAAGCGAGCGUAGGUGGCUUGAUAAGUCAGAUGUGAAAUCCCCGGGCUUAACCUGGGAACUGCAUCUGAUACUGUUGAGCUAGAGUAUGUGAGAGGAAGGUAGAAUUCCAGGUGUAGCGGUGAAAUGCGUAGAGAUCUGGAGGAAUACCGAUGGCGAAGGCAGCCUUCUGGCAUAAUACUGACACUGAGGCUCGAAAGCGUGGGUAGCAAACAGG
rnacentral:rRNA from 1 species